rnacentral:lncRNA from 1 species
GGGCAAUUGUGUUACUGCCCCUUUUUUGGACAUCUGGUAGUGCUUAAAUGUGAGUAUAAAGCAGAGAUGAAGUGCACUUGGACUGCAGAAAGCAGCAGGAUGAAGAGUAAUGUGCAGCUAGGGCUGUUGUGUCUCAGCCUGCUCAUCUUCAGUCUUCAUGGAGAAGUUGUCGAGACAGAAACGAGCAAAGAAUUUCCCCCCCCCAAUUUCGAAGAGCCGGAUCUUCAUCAGCUUGAGAUGUACAGAGUACGACAACAGACGGUCUCCACAGAGAAGGAAAAUCCAGCAAGAACAGUAGCUGUUUUGCCACCAAGUGAGAACAGCAAGACUAAGAGAACAUGGCCACAUCCAGGAGGUCUCACUCCUUUAGGAGAACCAACGAUAUACGUCAAUCACCGCACCAAGAGACAGGAAAAAAGCAGGAAUAACAAAAGGAAAAUACGUCCCGGAAGUCAGAGCCUUUUAGUAAGCAGUGGAGUUUUACCCGUAUUGACUAUCCUCUGAUCAGCCUGUCAGCACGCCAUUUAAACAUAUUAAUAGUAAUUUUAUAUUAAAGAAAUAGACUGACUUGCUUUACUUUAACUCGUCAUUUGCCUACCUCAAUUAAAGAGUAAGACCCCAGCAGACUGCCAAUGUCAAGAGGGAUGACGAAUGAACAAGUUAAAGCAUUAUAUGCGUUCAAGGCUCCUUCCCAGGUAACAUGUUGCAACGUAUUUACAUAAUAUGAAGGGGAAAAAAUGGUACUAAACAGACAUUAUUGUGGGUUCUCUCCUUACAGGUUCCCUGAAUCAGGAAAAAAGGAAUAUAUCACCAUGUUUCAUAAAGAGUGUUUCAGGCUCAGGUUAUGCUUGUGAUAAUCAUUUAUAUUUCUAUAGCUUUUCUUUUCCACGUAUAUUUUGGAUAAGUAAUAAUCUCUAUGGAAAAUAAAAUGUAUUUACUGAAUUCUCCCUCGUGUGUAUUUCUUAUUCGCAUCACUAGGGGGCAAUGUUUACCCAAGAGAUGAGCGCUCAAACCAGCUUGGCUUCUGUUAAAACGAAAUGUUUGAUAUCUGUUUAUCUUCAUCUCUUAAUUACAAUAAAGCACUUGUCUUGAAAUGUCACUCUUGUAUUGUGUGGAAAACACUGUAGACGACGAAUGGCUUUCUAUAAAGUUUUAGUUGUACUGCGUUUUUUUGUGAAGGACUUGACAUGUUGAUACUGUCAAGCAUAAACAGUCUAUGUGUGUUGACAGAUUCUGUGGGAUAGAAACUGCAUAACUAUCACUCCUCUUUUGUAUGUGAGUAGUUCUGCCAGUUAAAUGUGCCAGAAAAGAUGUUAGCCUGAAGGCAUACAAAAUAGUAGGCCUAUGUUUUGUGCCAGGAAUUUGUCAAAACACAUUGGCGGUCCAAAGUAAAGAGAAAAGCAACACCCCUUCUUCCUUAUCUGCAUAAUCCUUGAUAAUAACAUAAAAGUGUGCACAAAUUAUUUUAAAUAAAUACUUAAAGAAACUUUAC